rnacentral:lncRNA from 1 species
CGAGUGUUCACCUCAUUUAUAAAUAAUGAUCUGGAACAUCACCUAGUGGGAGCGUAAAGUCUGUGGAAUCAGAGGUGGUAGAAAGACAUUGGAUAAAACACAAAGCCAUAUGAUACACUGAACAAGAUCACACAUCAUAAUGCUCUGAAACAUACCUUCCCGUACGUUUCAUUUAUGACCAAGAAAGGAUUGCUGGGUUGUAUGUACUGCUGGGACAGCCCUCCCCACACCCAGCCAAUGGAAUAAGUGAUCAGAAGUAUUGUGUCAGCUCUCUGAUCUUUUUGGAAUUUCUCCUGAUGUAUGAUGUGAAAAGUCGAUCCACUUUUAUUGUUUUCCAUGGCUAUCCUUGUUUAGCCACUCUAUUAAUUAAGGUGUCCACCUUAAUUGGACCAGUCCCUCACUGUAAGGAUGAAGGUUAUUGCUGUGUUCUUCUACUUCCCUAUGAAUUACUGGAAAGCAACUGUUUUAAACAAUGGCAGAAGGAAAGAAAGAAGAGGGGGAAAAAAUCUCUUGCAAUUUUUAGGGGGAAGAGUGGCGCACCGAGGAAAAGCUGUGACAAACUUUUCAUGUGUGCAGUCAUAGCCGGAUAUUGUGACAAAGAACGACGAAGAAAAUCAAGGCAGUGCAAUAGCAUAUUUAGACAUAACACAAAAUAAAAACCCUUCACCAAAGAGUUUCCACAGACUAAAUUAUUUUGGAUUCCGAAAAACUUAUUGUUGUUAUUUAAAGAUAAAUAUUUAAGUAAUAAAACGUAUAAGAAUUCAC